rnacentral:rRNA from 1 species
UACGUAGGGUGCAAGCGUUAAUCGGAAUUACUGGGCGUAAAGCGUGCGUAGGCGGUUGCCCAAGUCGGGUGUGAAAGCCUUGAGCUCAACUCAAGAAAUGCACUCGGUACUGGGUGACUAGAGGACCGGAGAGGAUAGUGGAAUUCCCAGUGUAGUGGUGAAAUACGUAGAGAUCGGGAGGAACAUCCGUGGCGAAGGCGGCCAUCUGGAUCAACACUGACGCUGAGGCACGAAAGCGUGGGGAGCAAACAGG